UCUCUCUCCCGCAUAAGUCGCCUUCCUCCCCUUGACGAAAAAAAGUCGCCUUCCUCCUGCGCCUACUAUUAGGCCCUAUUUUCAAUUGAUUUCCAAAGGAAAAUAGCGCUAUCUUCAAUCAAUCUGUUGGAGAUGAGUUUGAUCCGGCAACAAAUCCUCCUCACGGAUCCAUCGCUCCAGCAAUAUGGUGGAGAAGCAAGUUGUGAACAUCAUGUGAUCUCUUUCCAGAUUGGAACAGGCUUAUACAAAAAUAACAUCUCUUGGACGGUCUGAGUUCGCGCCCGGCAUGGUAGGUUUGUCGCCAAGCUAUCAACUCAAUAAAAGGUAAACACAUCGUGUUCCUGUGCACUGUGUUUCAAGCCGCAAUGAUUGAUUAUGUGCAUCGUGGACGUGGACAUGGAUGGUGUGUACGUGCAUGUUCAGGCCUAUCAAGGAUGCCUUCUAUGUUUGCAUCUUGUCGGACGAUCCCUGUGCAGGACGACAUCAAGAUUGAAUCAAGCCAUCCUGCUUCGCUACAGUUUAGAAGUCGACGCCGCAGACAUAUCUAUGGCGUGCGUUUGUUAACAGUUCAAGCAAUGAUUGAUUAUGUGCAUCGUUGAUCA